CUCAUGACUGCCUUGAUCAAUAGCAUACGGCAGACGUCAUGCUGUGCCAGUUUCAGGCUUAGCUUUACUUGAUUGACAGCUCCAUCUUUCUGCUUCUUGGAACGUUCAGUCUGGGGACUCCCUCUCUCCUAAACCAACUGCCAUGCUGUGAAACUCCUAAGCCACACGGAGGUAUUUCAGUUGACAGCCUUAGCUGAGCUGCAGUAUCAACUGCCAGUCAUGUGAACACUCAGCUUGAACAUUCCAGCCCAGUUGAGCCUUCGGAUAAUUGCAGCCCCAGCUGACACCUGGCCGUAUUGUGUGAGACACACCAAGUGAAAACUGCUUAGCUGAGUCCAGUCAAACCAAAGAAUCGUGAGAGAGAAGAAUAAUUGGUUUCAAGGGCCCAGUGCAAGCCGCGGAGCUGAAACAGCAUCUCUAAUCUUAUUUCCUAUGAACCUCUCACUAACUUCUCCUUUUACGAUCUUUUCACGGCUGUUACAUUGAAUCAGUAUCAUUAUGUGUUUAAAAAAAUAUUAUGCUCUGUGUCUCAGAGCUAACUCUCCAGAACCGAUUAUUCUAGCCCCUUUUCUUAGGAGAUGACAGGCUGUUAGAAAUCUGGAAAGGGUGGGGGUUUGUUUGUUUGUUUCUGGGGUCCUCUUGGCAGGAGCUGAGAAAUGAGGUGAAAGCCGCGGUUCUCAGACUUUUGCUGUAGGUUUACGGUAUGACCAUGAGCAUUCCCAAUGGCAGAUUGCAAAAAUGGCCCUGGAUUCCUCCCUUCCCUGAACGCACACUUCUUUGCAGUGUGACUUGGUCACUCUUCUCCUCUAGAGGUGGAGCCUGUACUUCACACCUUGAAUCUAGCCUUAGACAAUAUGUUUUGUCCCGUGGGAUGUUAGCAGAGGUUUGAAGGACAUUUCUGCUUUGGGGUUUCCUCUCUCUUGCUGCACCUGGAAACUUAAGACCCUUAUGUCACCCAG
rnacentral:lncRNA from 1 species